rnacentral:rRNA from 1 species
UACAGAGGGUGCAAGCAUUAAUCGGAUUUAUUGGGCGUAAAGAGCGCGUAGGCGGGCUUUUAAGUCAGAUGUGAAAUCCCUGGGCUCAACCUAGGAACAGCAUUUGAAACUGGAAGUCUUGAGGGUAGUCGGAGAAAAUGGAAUUCCACGUGUAGCGGUGAAAUGCGUAGAUAUGUGGAAGAACACCGGUGGCGAAGGCGAUUUUCUAGAUUAUUCCUGACGCUGAUGCGCGAAAGUAAGGGGAUCAAAC